GCAUACAGGAGAUGUAGGUUAAUGUCCUGCAAGUCUUA
rnacentral:tRNA from 1 species